AAGCCCAAGAUCAUCCUCACAUGUGGCACCAAGUAGACACGACUGGGAUCCACUGCUAACAGCUAUAUUUGCCACUGCUAACCUAGAUACACACGAGUUCUGUGUAAAAUGGGCAUCAAUGAGUAAAAGACUUGGAGGAUCGUUCUAAUUCUGAACUGAAAGCCUGCUCCCGGUGGAUUAGCUUUGUUAAUAUGCAAAGUUGUUGUGCAAACUACCAAGGGAGAAGAACAAUCAAUAGUUCUAUUUGACCAGCAUUGCAAGAAAAUCCUGAAGGUACACAGUGGCACCUUUAUCCUGUGUUAACCACCAGCCACUUAAUGGACAUAAGGGAGAGACAAUAAAAGAAAUCAUUACAGAGAGCCACAACUGGUCAAAAGGCAGAGAUCAACUGAACAAAAAAUGCCUGUCUCAAAGUGAUAUAUUUAAAACAUGACCUCUACACUCAAGGAUCAGGGAACGUGCCAGAAAAUGGAGCAAAAUGUUGGUAUGAUCCAGAGGACCAGAAUAUCUACAAAGCAAUAGUUUCUUCUUAAAAAACAAAUGGUAGAAAGUGAAGCUGGAUCUAGGAAGAGAUGGGAAGAAAAGAAGAGAGUGAAUGUGAUCAGUGUAUACUGUGAAAUUCUCAAAGAACUAAUAAAAUUAUUAUGUUAUUAAAAUGUCA
rnacentral:lncRNA from 1 species